GGUUAAGCGACUAAGCGUACACGGUGGAUGCCCUGGCAGUCAGAGGCGAUGAAGGGCGUGCUAAUCUGCGAUAAGCGCCGGUAAGGUGAUAUGAACCGUUAUAACCGGCGAUACCCGAAUGGGGAAACCCAGUGUGACUCGUCACACUAUCAUUAACUGAAUCCAUAGGUUAAUGAGGCGAACCGGGGGAACUGAAACAUCUAAGUACCCCAAGGAAAAGAAAUCAACCGAGAUUCCCCCAGUAGCGGCGAGCGAACGGGGAGGAGCCCAGAGCCUGAAUCAGCAUGUGUGUUAGUGGAAGCGUCUGGAAAGGCGCGCGAUACAGGGUGACAGCCCCGUACACAAAAGCGCAUGUGCUGUGAGCUCGAUGAGUAGGGCGGGACACGUGGUAUCCUGUCUGAAUAUGGGGGGACCAUCCUCCAAGGCUAAAUACUCCUGACUGACCGAUAGUGAACCAGUACCGUGAGGGAAAGGCGAAAAGAACCCCGGCGAGGGGAGUGAAAAAGAACCUGAAACCGUGUACGUACAAGCAGUGGGAGCCCCACCACCAAAGCAUUCUCUGGUGUUGAAGGCCCUGCAAAGCAGCAUCGCGGUGGCGGAGCGUCGUUUGCGACGCCCAACACACAAAACAAGCGGUGAAUGCUUUGGGGUGGGGUGACUGCGUACCUUUUGUAUAAUGGGUCAGCGACUUAUAUUCUGUAGCAAGGUUAACCGAAUAGGGGAGCCGGAGGGAAACCGAGUCUUAAUUGGGCGUUAAGUUGCAGGGUAUAGACCCGAAACCCGGUGAUCUAGCCAUGGGCAGGUUGAAGGUUGGGUAACACUAACUGGAGGACCGAACCGACUAAUGUUGAAAAAUUAGCGGAUGACCUGUGGCUGGGGGUGAAAGGCCAAUCAAACCGGGAGAUAGCUGGUUCUCCCCGAAAGCUAUUUAGGUAGCGCCUCGUGAAUUCAUCUCCGGGGGUAGAGCACUGUUUCGGCUAGGGGGCCAUCCCGGCUUACCAACCCGAUGCAAACUGCGAAUACCGGAGAAUGUUAUCACGGGAGACACACGGCGGGUGCUAACGUCCGUCGUGAAGAGGGAAACAACCCAGACCGCCAGCUAAGGUCCCAAAGUCAUGGUUAAGUGGGAAACGAUGUGGGAAGGCCCAGACAGCCAGGAUGUUGGCUUAGAAGCAGCCAUCAUUUAAAGAAAGCGUAAUAGCUCACUGGUCGAGUCGGCCUGCGCGGAAGAUGUAACGGGGCUAAACCAUGCACCGAAGCUGCGGCAGCGACGCUGAUGCGUUGUUGGGUAGGGGAGCGUUCUGUAAGCCUGUGAAGGUGUGUCGUGAGGCAUGCUGGAGGUAUCAGAAGUGCGAAUGCUGACAUAAGUAACGAUAAAGCGGGUGAAAAGCCCGCUCGCCGGAAGACCAAGGGUUCCUGUCCAACGUUAAUCGGGGCAGGGUGAGUCGACCCCUAAGGCGAGGCCGAAAGGCGUAGUCGAUGGGAAACGGGUUAAUAUUCCCGUACUUGGUGUUACUGCGAAGGGGGGACGGAGAAGGCUAUGUUGGCCGGGCGACGGUUGUCCCGGUUUAAGCGUGUAGGUGUGUGUUCCAGGUAAAUCCGGUUCACUUUAACACUGAGGCGUGACGACGAGGCACUACGGUGCUGAAGCAACAAAUGCCCUGCUUCCAGGAAAAGCCUCUAAGCAUCAGGUAACAUCAAAUCGUACCCCAAACCGACACAGGUGGUCAGGUAGAGAAUACCAAGGCGCUUGAGAGAACUCGGGUGAAGGAACUAGGCAAAAUGGUGCCGUAACUUCGGGAGAAGGCACGCUGACACGUAGGUGAAGUGAUUUACUCAUGGAGCUGAAGUCAGUCGAAGAUACCAGCUGGCUGCAACUGUUUAUUAAAAACACAGCACUGUGCAAACACGAAAGUGGACGUAUACGGUGUGACGCCUGCCCGGUGCCGGAAGGUUAAUUGAUGGGGUCAGCGCAAGCGAAGCUCCUGAUCGAAGCCCCGGUAAACGGCGGCCGUAACUAUAACGGUCCUAAGGUAGCGAAAUUCCUUGUCGGGUAAGUUCCGACCUGCACGAAUGGCGUAAUGAUGGCCAGGCUGUCUCCACCCGAGACUCAGUGAAAUUGAACUCGCUGUGAAGAUGCAGUGUACCCGCGGCAAGACGGAAAGACCCCGUGAACCUUUACUAUAGCUUGACACUGAACAUUGAGCCUUGAUGUGUAGGAUAGGUGGGAGGCUUUGAAGUGUGGACGCCAGUCUGCAUGGAGCCGACCUUGAAAUACCACCCUUUAAUGUUUGAUGUUCUAACGUGGACCCGUAAUCCGGGUUGCGGACAGUGUCUGGUGGGUAGUUUGACUGGGGCGGUCUCCUCCUAAAGAGUAACGGAGGAGCACGAAGGUUGGCUAAUCCUGGUCGGACAUCAGGAGGUUAGUGCAAUGGCAUAAGCCAGCUUGACUGCGAGCGUGACGGCGCGAGCAGGUGCGAAAGCAGGUCAUAGUGAUCCGGUGGUUCUGAAUGGAAGGGCCAUCGCUCAACGGAUAAAAGGUACUCCGGGGAUAACAGGCUGAUACCGCCCAAGAGUUCAUAUCGACGGCGGUGUUUGGCACCUCGAUGUCGGCUCAUCACAUCCUGGGGCUGAAGUAGGUCCCAAGGGUAUGGCUGUUCGCCAUUUAAAGUGGUACGCGAGCUGGGUUUAGAACGUCGUGAGACAGUUCGGUCCCUAUCUGCCGUGGGCGCUGGAGAACUGAGGGGGGCUGCUCCUAGUACGAGAGGACCGGAGUGGACGCAUCACUGGUGUUCGGGUUGUCAUGCCAAUGGCACUGCCCGGUAGCUAAAUGCGGAAGAGAUAAGUGCUGAAAGCAUCUAAGCACGAAACUUGCCCCGAGAUGAGUUCUCCCUGAGACUUUAGGUCUCCUGAAGGAACGUUGAAGACGACGACGUUGAUAGGCCGGGUGUGUAAGCGCAGCGAUGCGUUGAGCUAACCGGUACUAAUGAACCGUGAGGCUUAACCUU
rnacentral:rRNA from 1 species